UUGACUGUGCAAAGGUAGCAUAAUCAGUUGGCUUUUAAUUGGAGUCUGGUAUGAACGAAAAUAUGGGUAGCUACUGUCUAAAUAUAUUUUUCCUAACUUUUUAAUCAAGUGAAAAUACUUGUACUAAUAAAAAAGACGAGAAGACCCUAGAAACUUGGAAAGUUUUUUGUUGGGGCGACAGAGUUACAUGAAACUAAUUUUAUAGAACAUGACAUUAGUUAGAAAGAAUAAGUUACUCUAGGGAUAACAGCAUAAUUUUAAUAGUUUGUGACCUCGAUGUUGGACUAGGUACUUUGCCCUUUAGGCAAGGGAUAA
rnacentral:rRNA from 1 species